AACGACUCUCGGCAACGGAUAUCUCGGCUCUCGCAUCGAUGAAGAACGUAGCGAAAUGCGAUACUUGGUGUGAAUUGCAGAAUCCCGUGAACCAUCGAGUCUUUGAACGCAAGUUGCGCCCGAGACCUUGGUCGAGGGCACGUCUGCCUGGGCGU
rnacentral:rRNA from 1 species